GUUCAAUCAAAUAGUCGUCCUCUUAACUCAUGGAGAACGGUGUUGUUCGAUUGAGCCGUGCCAAUAUCACGCGGUAAACCAAAAAUGGCAAAGAUAGUUAUUAUAACCUUAAAGGCACUCGAUCGGUAGCCUUAGAGGGGACAAGCAACACAAAACCCAAAAUCCAAGUACAACUGCGAUUUGCAGUUCUAUUUUAGCAAGUAUUUAAGGGAGUAAAAGUACUAACAAGAACGUAAAACAUUUGUAAUUACUAUCUGAAACUUUUGUCCAUAAGUUAGCUGUGGAAUGAUUUAUCUUAUUUGUUAUUUAAAGAAAA
rnacentral:precursor_RNA from 1 species